GGGGAAUAUUGCGCAAUGGGCGAAAGCCUGACGCAGCAACGCCGCGUGAGGGAUGACGGCCUUCGGGUUGUAAACCUCUUUCAGCAGGGAGGAAGCGAAAGUGACGGUACCUGCAGAAGAAGCACCGGCUAACUACGUGCCAGCAGCCGCGGUAAUACGUAGGGUGCAAGCGUUGUCCGGAUUUAUUGGGCGUAAAGAGCUCGUAGGCGGUUAGUCACGUCGGAUGUGAAAACCCGGAGCUUAACUCCGGGCCUGCAUUCGAUACGGGCUGACUAGAGUGUUGUAGGGGAGACUGGAACUCCUGGUGUAGCGGUGAAAUGCGCAGAUAUCAGGAAGAACACCGGUGGCGAAGGCGGGUCUCUGGGCAACUACUGACGCUGAGGAGCGAAAGCGUGGGGAGCAAAC
rnacentral:rRNA from 1 species